GACGAACGCUGGCGGCGUGCUUAACACAUGCAAGUCGUACGGUAAGGCCCUUUCGGGGGUACACGAGUGGCGAACGGGUGAGUAACACGUGAGUAACCUGCCCACAACUUUGGGAUAACGCUAGGAAACUGGUGCUAAUACUGGAUAUGUGCUCCUGCUGCAUGGUGGGGGUUGGAAAGCUCCGGCGGUUGUGGAUGGACUCGCGGCCUAUCAGCUUGUUGGUGGGGUAGUGGCCUACCAAGGCGGCGACGGGUAGCCGGCCUGAGAGGGUGACCGGCCACAUUGGGACUGAGAGACGGCCCAGACGCCGACGGGAGGCAGCAGUGGGGAAUAUUGCACAAUGGGCGCAAGCCUGAUGCAGCAACGCCGCGUGCGGGAUGACGGCCUUCGGGUUGUAAACCGCUUUCAGCAGGGACGAAGCUUUUUGUGACGGUACCUGCAGAAGAAGCACCGGCUAACUACGUG
rnacentral:rRNA from 1 species